rnacentral:lncRNA from 1 species
GCAGAAAAGUACAUAUUUAAUGCAUCAUCUUGAAUAAUAAGCAGGAUCAUGAAUUCUAGAAGCAGAAACGCCUCAGUUACUAGAGCUUAUCUUUCUGCCUGGGUUGCUGUGACCUUAGAGUACAGAGAGGGUUUUUUGUUUGUUUGUUUGGUUGGUUGGUUGGUUUUGGCGGGAGCAGGGGAAGAGGAUCUGCAGCCUUACAGUUGGUGCACUGUCACCAAAGGGAACUCUGGCUAGCACGUGAUGCAGAGCCCCCGACCCCCUCCUCAGCUCAGUAGACUUCAUGGCUUUACUUCAGCCUUGAGCCCACCUUUACUGGCCUCAUGUGGGCACAUGCCACAUUUCUUUCAGCUCUUGGCCCUUCCCACCAAAUUCAGGAAUAUGGGUUCAAAUCUCAGGUGUGCUUUUCACAUUUUCUUUAAUCUUUUUUUCUGUAGAACAAUUUCUUUCCUUUUUUCCUCCCAGUCCAGAGCUUACUGUUCAUUCAUUAAAUAGAAAAUUGAGAGAGAGGCUCUGAGGGUGGCACUAGAAAUAUAAACUAGUGAAGGAAAGAUCUCUGAGAUGGAGUGGUUGUGAGGAUGGAAGGCCUCUCAAGAUUUGUCUCUCUUGGUCCAGCCCAUCUCCUUCCUGGGUCCCCUCCCCAUCCCCACUCUACACAGUUUUAGUAGGCUGUCCGUCACGGUGAUCAGGACAGGCUUGGGCCACUUGCUUAGCCCACUGGUUGUUUUUAAGACUGGUUGUGUGUCCCAGGCAAUACUAAUGAAUGUGUUCUUUUAGUUUUCUAGAUGGGCCCCUUUCAAUCAGAGAGUUCUCUUCUUUUUCAUGUGUUUCUUAUCCAAAGGAGAGUGUGUCUGCAGUUUUGGCUUUGUGAGGGCAGCUUUUUGGCCUGAAAAUUAGAAAGAGAAUCAGAGCCUUGAUAAUACCUCUGUGGCCCCUGGAACGACCUGUACCUGAAGCUUCAUGCCUUAAGACUUUUCAAUUAUUUGUCAGUUAAUUCCUUUUUUCUCCUCUUCAUCUUCUUAAAUUUAUGUCCCUUUCAGUCAGAAGCUACCCAAGUCAUACACUAUGGAGAGGGGCACAAAAAGUCAACUGAUUUAAAAAAAAAAAAUGACAACAGGAGGCUGCUAUUCUAAGCACAGGACCUAACCUGCAAAUUGUUAAAACUCCAGGUAUAGCUCUUUUUUCUGUGGUGGCCACUGCCUCCACCCCCAACAUCCCUUUGCCAGUUUCCUUUUAGCUGAAAGGAUCAAAAUUAAUCUUAAGUUUGGCUAGGUUGUAAAACAGAAGCAGAAUCACAUACUCUCUCUUUCUCCCUGCGACAUAGAAAUAAACAUCUUUUUGAUUAUUCAGUUGUAGCAAAAUUGAUGUUUUCCAUGGCAUGUUGAAGUUGUUUCCACGAGCUAUCUCAUUGGACCAGACUGAUUGUCAUGAAGGAGGUGACCCCCCCCGCCACAAGUGGAUAAAGAUGCAGUCCUGGUGUGUCUGCUUAGUGCCAGAGGCUCACUCUUGUGUUCAGUUUGUUCUGCUCAAGUGCUUCAUGUUUCUCUGGGCACAGAAGAUGAUUUGGAUAAAUGCUUUUAUCUAAAUUCUGUUUUUUUUAUGACUUUCCCUAUUUUCUACCUCCACCCCCAUUUUACUUUUUAAAAUAUCAAUGCAAUUUACGAUGCUUAAUCAUUACAGACUUGUCUUUGGGGUAUCCUUUUUUUUUUUUUUUUUUUUUAAAGGAUGUAUUUACAAUUAUUUAAAAAAUUCUCCUUGUCUUUCUUUUUCUAUUGCCAUCUGUUCGUUUAAAUUUUCUCAGAUUGUUUACGGUUUCAGUUUUCCCUCCAUACAUUUUCUGGCAUUUGGCGCUCCUUUUCUGACACAAUAGGUCAGCCUUUCAAAAAUUUGGCCCUAUAUACUUCAACUUUUUCCGUAGUCAACACACUGCCUAUGCCUUCUGAAGUCUUUCAUCUUUUAGGUCUUUGAGCAGAUGUUAACUGUUUAAAUAUUUUGUUGUUUGGGUGUAAAGAAAAUUGAAAUGUAAGACGUCAGUGAUAGCAUGCUUUGCUUAUACCCGAGCAGAUUGCUGCCUGCAAGUUAAAUAUGCAAACGUCUUUAAAACAUGGAGAGUUCCUCUUAUGCAUUUUAACCAUAAUCUACAGGUUGUGUACUGUGAAAAAUGAGUUAAAUUCAUCAAGUUAUACUGAAGAUUUUUGUUGAGUCGGGAGCAUAUCUAAAAACUAGUGUAUUUCUUCUCUGAAUUGAUUUAUAACACUGGGAGCUUUCCUGGGGAUGAACUCAGGCUUCCUGGCAGGAAUGAGAGAGGAAUCAUUCUAUAUACACUCCAUACUUUCUGGUUCAUGUAUUAUAUUAAUGGUGGUAUUUUGACUCAUUUAGUUAUAAUAUGAAUGGCUACAAUAAAUGGGUCAUAAGUUAUUGAUGCUAUAAAGUCACCUGGGAAUGUGACAGCACUCUUGGUAGUAGUCAUGGCUUGAGUGGUAUCAGUGACCAACUUUCAUGGUGUGCCAGGUGUCUCAUUUAUCCCUCAACCAACCCCAUGUGUUGAUCCCUAUUAUGGCCCCAUUUUAGAGAUGAGAGAACUGAGGCCGAGAAUGGUUAACUAGCUCUCCUAGGUCAUAAAACUAAUAAGUACUAGAGCUGGAAUUUCAGCCUUGGUGGUCUGAGUCCAUUGCCUCUGAAGUGCACUUUUUUGUGGUAUAGGCUUUAAAAGCACAGGCUGUGAAGGUGAAGAGGACUUACAGUCAUUAAAUCUUAGUUUUUUCAUCUGUAGAAAGUAGCUGGGAACAGUAUAUACCUUCAAAGUGUUGAGAGGUAAAAUGACAAAGUACAGGUGCCUAGCUGUUAAGUGCUCAGUAAAUACCAACUAUUAUCAUUGUUAUUAAAGCUAUUGAUUAGUGUUGUACUAGAGAACUUUAUACUGUCCCUCCCCUUCCCUCCUCCCCCCUUGAUGAGGAGGCCUCUGAAUAGUAAAAGUUCAUUAUGGCUUUGAGUGUAGUCAUAUCUUUGCGUAGAUAAUGCAUCACUACCUCUGUCGUACAUGAUAUAUUAAAUAAUUCCAACAGCAGCAGGUUUCUCCUUAACUUUAUUCAGAUUUUGUCCUUGGCUCGUUCCCCACCAGCCCAAAUGAGGAGAAAUUUGUAGCUCAGUCCCUCACAUUGAAAGUGGGCAUUAAUAUUAGCAAAUUCCCUUUAAUAAUCAUCACAUUAAAUUUGAUGACCAGAGGGGACAUCCUGAUAACUUAUAACGGAAAAUAAUGUCUCUGGGAGACAAGGGAGCCUUUCCCAAACAUUAACCAUUGAGCAAGAUUAAAGAGACUGAAGACCUGGGAGGCUGAUGGUCAGUGUUAUUAGUCUGAUGGUCCACAGUCAGGAAACUGGUGUUCAGUUUCCUGAGCAUCUGUGGCCCUUUAAUCUUAGCUGUAGAAAUAGAAAAGAAGAUUGUAGAAACCUGUUUGAGAGCAACAAUUAUUGAUACUUUUUCCUCUUACAUGACUCAAAACAAAAGAGGACUGUCAUACAUAAUGGCUCUGUAUCUUGGGGUUAUUGAAGAUGAGUCAUUAAAUCCAGCAGCCAGGAGACCUGAUAGCUGCCUGUCCAAGAUCCUGAAUGGGCAGAGCUUAGUUCCUUGGGGCCAAUGAAGCUGUGUAGUUGCUUAGAAAGGACAGAGGAAUGCCUGCCUGGCCUCCGUGUGGGAGUUAAAUGUUUGGCAAGAGUCAGAGGGUAGCUUUCAAGUCACAUGCUUGUAUUUCGUGACUACAUCUGGGCACUCUUGUGCACACAGUUCCCCUGCUUUUUUUCUUUUGGUGGCUGAACCCAGUCUUUCCAGAUCUCAGGUUCAAUGUGGGUUCUUAACUGCGGCCCCUCCAGAGCACUCUUACCUUUGCCUGGCACCUCAUUUGUGUUGUUGCUCUUAGCUUUUUUAAUUGUUUUUGUCUCUCACUGGAUAGCACAGUGAGGACGUCAUUUCUCCAUUUUCUACUUGUGAUCAAUAUGGGGCCUGCUGGCAUGUACUGAGCACUCAAAGAGCUUAGAGGAUGAAUGUCAGAGAUUGAUUUAUGCCAUACAUUUUUAUGGAACCACUGUUUUCUCCCAGAUAAGGGUUAGCUUCUGGACCCAACUUUAUAUGCAUAGAAAUAAGAUAUCAAGGUGAAGGACCAUAGGAAAAGGAAGAAAGCACAUCCCUGUUCUUUCAGGGUAUUAAAAGCCAGGGAUCAUGUGUAUGUUCACUUUAGUCCCAAUGGCCAAGACGUCCAUCAGCAGCUCUUUGAGCCUGUUUCCAUUUUGUCCCUGAAAUGCAGCAAAGAUGCUUAGUGUAUUGUAGUUUUACCCUGAAGACUAAUUGGUAUGGUGGAGUUCACUGAUGCUGAGGUUUUUUUCUCCUUCACAUUUUAACAUCUCUGAAAUCAGGAAAUAAUUUCCAUUUAGUAGUGCUUGAAAAUUGUUGUCUGGGAUUUUUUUUUUUUUUUUUUUUUUUAACCAUUGGAACAUCACUGAAGUUGGGAUGAGUCUUCUUACAAUUAACAGUGUCUUCAGCUUCAUGAGCUAAAGUAAUUAUGGGAAGCAUAUAGGUGUUAGAUCUAUAAAUAUGUAUGUCCUUAUCUUUGUCCUCAGUAACAAAAGAAAAGAGAUAGUUGGUAUAAGCAUCACUAUGAGGAGAAGGCGCACAGGCCUGGGAACUGGCAGAUUGGAUUCUUUCUGGGGUCAGUAGUCAUAUCACCUCCCCCUGCCAUCCUUUGGCAGUCAAGGUUCUAGGUUUUUGGACUGGCAAAGACAUCCCCCCUAUAGUGCCACUGAUUGCCAGUGGUUCAUUGGAGCUCUGUGUGUAGGGUAUUGAAGCCACGCCCCAGGUCUGUAGGCAGAUUUAGAAUCUGGGCUGCACCUGUGGCCUCUGGAAGUUCAUGGGCCAGGGACUGAACCCUCAGUAGUAACCAGAGCCACAGCAGUGACAAUGCCAGAUCCUUAAUUCCCUGAACCCCAAGGGAACUCCUGAAAUAUUUUUUAUAUUAUGUCAAUUACCAGUAACACAAAGAAGUGGAGAGAAUAGCAUCAUAAGUCCCUAUGUACUCAAACAGUUUAGUCACUGGGCCAUUAUUUGGAUGGGGAAGUUGUGACCAUCCCAGGCUAAAUCCAGGAUUGUCACCCAGAGAUAUUGAAAUAGAUCUUGGGAAGCUGACCAGAGAAAAAUUGAAGCUCAUUGUGGUGUUCAUUCUAUGGACAGUGGGGGCUGCCAGCCCUGUUGGCUGUGUCAGUCAGGGUUUGUUUAAUACUAAUACUUUGUACUACAGAGGAAAUGGCCCCAGCUUUUCUCUUCCUUGUUCAAGUUUGCAGUUUGAAAAAAGUUGACCAUAUUUUCAUUGUAGGCCUAGCUUCCUUUACCAUUAGGGUAACUGUAUGCCUUCUGGUGGAAUUCUGUUUUCCAGAUUUAAUUACUAAUUACGCCUCCUUUCUUUCUUAGAAUAGAUUUGGUUUGGGCAAUAAAUUAUUUGAGUCAACUAACUUAGCCCCUGAAAGAAACUCCGAUUACCUGAUUCUAUGACUGUCUGGCUCUUUGGAGUACCACUUCAUAGAGCACCAGUUUGAAUGCUAAAUGCACAUGGUUAUGGCAUAAGGAAGGCCAGUUAUACUUGCCAAGUGAUGGCAGGGACUGGAGCCUGGAACAGCCAGGCCCAGUGUUAGAGGUAGUCAAGUUUGAUUUGCGCAAAACCCAUGCUGGAUACAAAAACAUACCUGCAGGCUAAAUUCAUAUCACAGACCCCUGGUGUACACCUCUUCCUCUUAAUAGGAAACUGUUAAUGAUCUAGACUCCAAGAAGAAGGCAAAUGAGGGAUGAAUGGCCAAAUUAAUCUGCCUGUUUUGUAAAUAAAAUGUCAUUGCAAAGCAAUCACACCCAUUUGUUUUUAUAUUGUCCAUGCUGCUUUGGCACCAUAAACAGAGACAGAGCUUAAAAUAGUUGUUAUCAGGCCUUCCCAGAAAGUUUGCUGACUCCUGUUCCAGAUCAGUACUAUCCAUUAGAAAUCUCUUGGGGUUCCCAUUGUGGUGCAGCAGAAACAAAUCUGAUCAGUAACUAUGAGGAUGCAGGUUUGAUCCCUGGCCUCGCUUGGUCAGUCAGGGAUCCGGCAUUGUCAUGGGCUGGCAGCUACAGCUCCGAUUUGACCCCUAGACUAGCCUAGCCUAGGAACUUCCAUAUGCCCCAGGUGCAGCCCUA